AACGAACGCUGGCGGCGUGCCUAACACAUGCAAGUCGAACGAGAAAGGGGCUUCGGCUCCGAGUAAAGUGGCGCACGGGUGAGUAACACGUAGGUAACCUGCCUCUAAGAUUGGGAUAACCUGUCGAAAGACGAGCUAAUACCAAAUAAGACCACGGUCUCUUCGGGGACAGAGGUCAAAGGUAGCCUCUAUUUAUAAGCUAUCGCUGAGAGAUGGGCCUGCGUACCAUUAGCUAGUUGGGGAGGUAACGGAUCACCAAGGCAAAGAUGGGUAGAUGGUCUGGGAGGAUGUGCAGCCACACUGGAACUGAGACACGGGCCAGACUCCUACGGGAGGCAGCAGUGGGGAAUAUUGCGCAAUGGGCGAAAGCCUGACGCAGCAACGCCGCGUGAGUGAUGAAGGCCUUCGGGUCGUAAAGCUCUGUCGGAGGGAACGAAUGCUCUUGAGGUUAAGAGACAUAAGAAAUGACGGUACCGGAGGAGGAAGCCACGGCUAACUACGUGCCAGCAGCCGCCGUAACAC
rnacentral:rRNA from 1 species